UACAGAGGGGGCAAGCGUUGUUCGGAAUUACUGGGCGUAAAGGGCGCGUAGGCGGCGCGGUAAGUCACUUGUGAAAUCUCUGAGCUUAACUCAGAACGGCCAAGUGAUACUGCAGUGCUAGAGUGUGGAAGGGGCAAUCGGAAUUCUUGGUGUAGCGGUGAAAUGCGUAGAUAUCAAGAGGAACACCUGAGGUGAAGACGGGUUGCUGGGCCAACACGUGACGCUGAUGCGCGAAAGCCAGGGGAGCAAACGGG
rnacentral:rRNA from 1 species